AAAUUUGUUUUGAUGUGUUCUAAAAGUGUUCCGCUAAUUCAGCAAUCUAAUGAAUCUGUCUUAAUUUUUCUGAAAUCGUGCUUAAUUAUUAUUAGCUAAUCGGCGCUACACCGUUGUUCAAAUACUUAUAAUUGCAAGAAACCCCCGACUAGGACCAGCAGGUAAGAAUCUGUCUUGAUUUUAUAGUAAUGCCCGGUUGCAAUUAUUGGCCGCCAUCUUUGAUUUUUAUAGACGUUCGGGCCAAAAAAAAGGAGAAAUGUAUAUCCAGACAUGGACUAUAGCUAGAUACUAACUUUUGUGUUAGUUGUUUAUUUGAAAUGUAAUCUUAAUAUUUCUGUAAAAGAAAAAAACAACAACAAACAAAUCAGCCUUUUUUUUAUAUCAAUGUCAUCAAUGUGUAGGCCUAAUAAUUAGACUUUCAAUGAUUCAGAAGUUUCUCUACAGUUUCGUUAUUUUUUUUCCAGUCAUUGAUGUUAGCAUAUGUACUACACAAAGAAAAACAGUUUCCAUAUUAGAUGCCAUAGCAAAUCAAAGAUAAUAUUAUAAAAUAAGUCAAAAAACCCAAAUAUGGGAAAAAAAAGAGCUGAAGAAAUGGUGAUUUGAGCACCUAUGAUUUCUCAUAGUUGUUUUUUGAGGAAAGAUCAAGACAGUUGAAAAUGGCUAUUCAUAUUAUGGAAACUUUUUCUCACAGAGCUUGAUAAUCAGGUAAAAUGCUGGAACACCCUUGAAAGAGUAUAAGGUGUAUGAUAACAACAAGAGAACCCAAGCAUCAAUUUAUUUUAUACUUCUGGGAAAGAAUGCAUUUGACCCAAUUUUUAAAUAUUUAUUUUUUGUUAUUAAUGUUAAAUUUUCUUCCAAAACACAAUUAGAUUUUAAUUCUCUUCAAAUAUGUAUGUAUAAUAUAGCAAGUAAACUGACAUAUAAAUCACUUAGAAUUUGGUCGGAAAUCAUAAAGUAUUUAAUAGGCAUUACUAGAAACCAAAUGUAGAUCAAAUACACCCAGAAUUACAAAAAACCUUGACCUACAUUAAGGUGACUUUCCCUUGCUUAUGAAAUGAAAUACGUUUUAAUAUCCUGCUUUUCUGUGUUCUUAGAGUGAUUCUACCCUACCCUUAUAUCAAAUAUUUCAACUGUCAAGGGUUCUUUAAAGGGUACCCAGGGGGGCCGAAUGGUUAACACGCACACAUUUGAUCAGAAGGUCUGUCAUUGAUUCAAAUAAUUCAAUUUUCAAGGGUUCUUCAAAGUGUACGCAGUUGGGUUGGUUUCAAUUCUGGGGGGUGGGGGUGGAUGGCCGAAUGGUUAGCACGUGCAUGCUGUAUCAUACGGCCUCCUGUCAUUGAGUCAACUGGCAUGGUUUCUAAUCCCCGGUUGUAGACAAGGAGUAGGGUCGCCUGUCCAAUCUAGUGGUUUUUCUCCGGGACCUCCGGUUUCCUCCCACUGCUAAAGACCCCUACGCGCUAGCGAAUUAUUGAAAUAAAAUUAAACCAUAUGUUAAUCCCAAAAUGAUCUAGUUUGUGUCGAGUAGAUGUUAAACCCCAUUUCUCUCUGUCUCUCUCUCUUUUGAUUCUGGGCUUGUACCCAAUUAUCCCUUGCCAUAUCCAACACUGAAAAGUGGGAACUAUGCCGGAAAAUCCAGUUGAAAUUUCGCGGCCAACGCCUUAUGCUCACUGAACCACUGUGGCUUAUGACUUGUGAUUGUAUAUAAAUCUUUUGUACAUAUGAUAUUUUUUUAUUUCAAUCCUGUAAUCUUGAUGCUUUGCUUCUUUUAUUUAUAAAAUAUUCAUUUUGUUUGGGGUUUUUUUAAUGAGGAAAAGGCUCUACAUCAUUUUAUUACUCCUGCAAAAUAGAGCAAUUUUCUUUUGUUAGUUUUCUGUGUAUGCUAGUUAUUUCUAGAUGCCUCACAAAUCACUUGUAGUGUGAUUUUGUAGCAUUUUUCAGUUUUUGAAAUUGUUUCAAUUUAGUGCAUAAUUAAUCUUAUUAGUGCUUAGUUUGGAUGUUAUUAAAUUUAGAUAUAUUUGAAUUAUAUAUUUUGGGGUAUGGGGUAGGGAUACUGUGUACAUAUCUUUAUAUUCUCAGUUCUUGUUUUGGGGUAAAGAACAAUUUAAAUAGCUAUUUUAUAUUUUGUGAUGGGUAAAG